rnacentral:lncRNA from 1 species
CUCUCCAACCCCGCCACGCCCGCAGGUAGACAGGCCAGGUGAGCCGGCCACCGCAGACCGGAAUGAGAGCCUGGGAAUCACGAGCUCCAGGUCCGGAGGAGGCUCUCUGUCCUACGAUUUCUGAGUCAGCACCAUGACAAACAUAUGGUUGCUUACAGUGGACCCAGGAGCAAGGAAAUCCAAGCUUGCAAAGGGGGCAUCUGGUCCCCACCAAGAUUUGUACUUCAUUUUUUGUAGUGAUGCCUUCUACUCAUUUAACUUCAUAAGACCAACAGAUUUCCUACUGAUAACACAGAACACUUCUGAACUGGUGUGUGCACACACGGCACAUCCUCAAUAUACAGGAUCAGAGUUCAAAUCCAGGGUGUGUUCCACUGUUGAUCAAUUAAACCAGUAAAUGGUGUCUCAAAUAGAACAAUCUUUGGUGAUAUAGGUGCCAAGUAAAUAUAAUUGCCUGUGAUAGUUUUCCCAAAUGUUCCCAUCUAGAUUGCCUGAUAUUCUAUGUGUCCCUCAGAAACACUUUUUGGCUUGAGAGAGGGAAAUGAUUCUGAGUCCCACCCUACCUAAGGCCUCCUAAAGCUUUUAAAUUGUAUUCAGGUACCACAUUCGUGACUGAAUUGGUACUAGAGAGCAAGUAAAGUGUAUCCAGGUCCUCUGGAAGCUAAGGUCCAAUGUCUUCUCUCUCACAGUGAGAAUAUUUUACUUCCAGGAGAAAAGGCAUAUUAAGGCUAAGUUCUGAACUAGUUUUCUAUGUUUGCUUCUACCAUAAGUCAAUAAAUAUUUAUCAAGAAGCUCAUCUUUUCCAGAGGUUAGUAAGUACCCUUCCCUGACCUCACAUAUCUAUAACAUAGAUAAAUGCUAGGAGCCACCUGCAUUGCUGAACAAAGGCAGAUAGCGUGCAAGCUUCCAUAAAUGCAUUCCCUGCAUUAGCCACUUCAACUCUGCUUCAAAUGAGAAGGAUGAAGAUGGUGUACAAAGGAAAACAGCAUAGUCCCCAGAAGCCCUCAAAAUCUAGUCAAAAUGUCACAGAAAAAUCUGCAUGUGCAGCAAAAAGGUUUCCCUAGCACACUAAUUGAGCAGUAGUAGUCUAAUAUUGGUCAGCCAGCUUUUCAAGGUCCAGGAGGAUGAAGUAGUCCAUUAACCUGUUUUCUAAACUUGUCAAUUCAGGGUAAAAAAUGGGUCAUGAAAAAUUUUCUGACCUCAGGCAGGCUGUGGGCCCAGCUGCAGGUGAAAUCCAGACAAAUGCAGUCCCUUCACAAUGUGACUGUUACACAUUUAAGAAGUUGGUCUCUCUAAAAAACAAAGUUCUUGCACCUGUGUGCAACAUACCAACAUUUUACCCCAACAUGGUGAGCUAUUAUCUGGCUUGAAAUCUGUUUCAGCAUCACAGUAACCAGAACAUCAUUGUUAUCUAGCCCAGUCCCAGCAGCUUUGUGAGGUAAAUUAAGUCCAAACUUUAAGUUAAAAAAGUGCCCUGUGCUAAAUUCCCAAUUAUCCUUGCUUACAUAAUAUACGGGAGUCGGCGCUGGGGGAUAUAAUUCUUUAUGCAAUUGCCUAAUAAACUAUGCCUUAAUAGGAGAAUGCAAGAAAUAUUAAGGGAAACUCAACUUACUUGACCAUUUAGAGUCAGCCUUUCUCUAGGAACGGGCUGAGCCUGAAUAAUCAUGGUAUAAACAAGCCUGUUGGGCUCUGACUCUACCUAGAUCAGAGACUACGUAGGGCUGUAUGUUUUGCCCUUCAGCGCCUUCAUCCCCUCACCUGUGAAGGGAGAUGAUUCUUAAUUCUGUGGUUUCUGGAGAAGUCAAAAGAGAGACAAAAUAAAGCAUUCAUUGUUCUUGUGUUUGGUAAAUUCCCUCUUAUAGGAAAUAUAUUUCACUUUCCUAAAUAAGAUAAUAACACGAGGCCCUAAACAUUAAUUCCAGAAAUUCUGUUCCAUUAUUCUUCCUCAAGGGGCCCUCUUUUCCUUAGUACCUUGACUGAACUCUCAGGAAAUUUCAUUAAGCAAGAUUACCACCACUACCCACCAAAAGCUUAAUGUUUAAUGCUAAUUAUUCCCUAGCAUUCCCUAUAUAUCCUUGUCUUCCACAGACACAGAUUUAAAUUUUUAAAAACUGGAUCUCUAAGUUUCAAACAUACUAAUUUUUACUUAAAUGAAGCUUCUUCCCAGAUAGAUCUGGUAGGAACCUAAGUGAAGAGUUAAUGAUUUAAUGUAUGAUUUAGUUGCAGGGCUUGAGUUAAGUUGGUUUAUGAAUUACCCAAUGAAGAGAGGCUCCAGAUUAUUCAUCAAUGUCCACAAAAAUAGGUUGGGGUGGUGGGGAAUGGGAAAAAAAAAUCACAAUCAGUUAAAAUUUGCUGUAAUAUUUCCUUAUAUUUGUAGAGCUGUUUAGAAUUCACCCAGUUUGCAGGAUUAAAACAUUUUCAAAUCUUGAGGAAGAAUGAUUGGGUUAUAAAUUUGCAGGUGAUUAGGAUAAAAAAAAUUCAGCAAAGCAAACCAUUUAAGGGAGACAACCUAUGUAUGUUUUUCCUCACUCCUCAUGACUAGAAUAGUGCAGCAAACGCUAUUAUUCUAUAAUAGCUAGCAAUGGAAUAGUAAGUGAAAAUUCACCUGGAGUUUCAUGUUAACUUGAGCUGGGCUAAAAGACACACUUAAAAGAAUACUGAGUUGUUUAAAUGGGAAUCCUCGGACUAAAGAUUAUAUUCAAUUUAAAGGAUUAGCUGAAAAAAGUCUAAGUGUGGCUAGGCAAAGAGGUUUCCAGAAUCCUUAACCACAUCUCAGUAUUUAUCCUGCCACUGAGGACACUGCUAACAGAAACUCCAUGCUCUGCGUUACCCUCCAAAACAUGUUUUCUGUGCUGUGCUUCUACACUGGAGACACCUGGAAAGAAGGACAAAUGGGCUUCGCUGUGGGUCCAUGGAACACUUACUGAUUUUCACCCAAAGUAAAGACCUUAGAAAUGAAACAGAGGUAGACAAACAACUCUAGAGAAAAGUAAACACAAAAUAAAAGUCACUGAAGUCCCUCUGAGAAUGAAUAGGAAGAGGGCAAUUAAACAGAAAUACUAACAGUCUUGGUGAUGUUACUUAACACAGGCAGCCUCGGCUGGGUCAAGAUGGAGAACAGUAACAGUAGAGUUCUCAGAUCAGGUCAGUUAAGGAACUGGUGUAAGUGCCCCAUAUAAUGUUUUUAAGAAAGCAAACAGUUUCCCCCCCUCCAAAUUCUGUCAUAAUUUUAGUGUUUAUGUAGCUUAAAAAUGGCAUCAUACAAAAAACCUCAUACAUGGCUGUAAGCUCAAUUAUCAACAGAGGUAGUAAACAAAGGAACUCCUAAGAAUCGAUUUUAAAAUGAUCAAAGUGUGACUAUACAUUCAAAACCCUAGAGCCACAUAAUCAUCCCCAAAAUGAACUGUUUUAAUUUUAAAAAGUUUAAAAACACAAUGACAAUGAAGCACUGAUAUGCCUUAGGAACAGUCCCAAAUCAGUGCUGACUUAAAGCUAAGUCCUCUCUUUCCAAGAAAAAGAAAGCAGAGAACAAAGUUCAAUCUACAAUGGGAGGGAACAGAAUGAAAACAACCAAAAGGGUGCUUUCCAGCAGCCUAGGUUAUUCUUUGUUUUCAGGCCACACCACUGGAAAUGCUUUUCUUCUUAUAUAAGUCUUUUCCUCACAACCUUUAUUUUUUAAAAACUGCCAUCUGCUGAACAAGAGAUGUCCACAUUUCCACCAGCAGGUGAUCCACUUCUGUGCACAGUUUUUGCUUCCUCACUGUGAGUCCUCCUUCCCCGAAAGUGCAAAGAGAGCAAGCUGAUACCUGCAGGCCCCAGAGCCCCAGGACUAUUCCAGCUCCACUUAUAAAGCAGGGUGAAGGAUUUGCUGCAUUUGUGCUUCAAAGAUCCAGCUCACUUUGGUUGUCCUUCUCAGUUGGCAAACUGCUCAUAAAAAGCAAACUUGAUCCUCUCUAUGUGAUGGCAAAGUUUGAUGGCAGGGCCCAAUUUUAAGUCCAUGCAUUCUUGAACAGUGGGAAGGGUAAGGAGCAACAGGGCCUGCCCAUCAAUUUCCU